rnacentral:rRNA from 1 species
UAUGAACCGUUAUAACCGGCGAUUUCCGAAUGGGGAAACCCAGUGUGUUUCGACACACUAUCAUUAACUGAAUCCAUAGGUUAAUGAGGCGAACCGGGGGAACUGAAACAUCUAAGUACCCCGAGGAAAAGAAAUCAACCGAGAUUCCCCCAGUAGCGGCGAGCGAACGGGGAGCAGCCCAGAGCCUGAAUCAGUGUGUGUGUUAGUGGAAGCGUCUGGAAAGGCGCGCGAUACAGGGUGACAGCCCCGUACACAAAAAUGCACAUAUUGUGAGCUCGAUGAGUAGGGCGGGACACGUGGUAUCCUGUCUGAAUAUGGGGGGACCAUCCUCCAAGGCUAAAUACUCCUGACUGACCGAUAGUGAACCAGUACCGUGAGGGAAAGGCGAAAAGAACCCCGGCGAGGGGAGUGAAAAAGAACCUGAAACCGUGUACGUACAAGCAGUGGGAGCACGCUUAGGCGUGUGACUGCGUACCUUUUGUAUAAUGGGUCAGCGACUUAUAUUCUGUAGCAAGGUUAACCGAAUAGGGGAGCCGAAGGGAAACCGAGUCUUAACUGGGCGUUAAGUUGCAGGGUAUAGACCCGAAACCCGGUGAUCUAGCCAUGGGCAGGUUGAAGGUUGGGUAACACUAACUGGAGGACCGAACCGACUAAUGUUGAAAAAUUAGCGGAUGACUUGUGGCUGGGGGUGAAAGGCCAAUCAAACCGGGAGAUAGCUGGUUCUCCCCGAAAGCUAUUUAGGUAGCGCCUCGUGAAUUCAUCUCCGGGGGUAGAGCACUGUUUCGGCAAGGGGGUCAUCCCGACUUACCAACCCGAUGCAAACUGCGAAUACCGGAGAAUGUUAUCACGGGAGACACACGGCGGGUGCUAACGUCCGUCGUGAAGAGGGAAACAACCCAGACCGCCAGCUAAGGUCCCAAAGUCAUGGUUAAGUGGGAAACGAUGUGGGAAGGCCCAGACAGCCAGGAUGUUGGCUUAGAAGCAGCCAUCAUUUAAAGAAAGCGUAAUAGCUCACUGGUCGAGUCGGCCUGCGCGGAAGAUGUAACGGGGCUAAACCAUGCACCGAAGCUGCGGCAGCGACGCUGAUGCGUUGUUGGGUAGGGGAGCGUUCUGUAAGCCUGUGAAGGUGUGCUGUGAGGCAUGCUGGAGGUAUCAGAAGUGCGAAUGCUGACAUAAGUAACGAUAAAGCGGGUGAAAAGCCCGCUCGCCGGAAGACCAAGGGUUCCUGUCCAACGUUAAUCGGGGCAGGGUGAGUCGACCCCUAAGGCGAGGCCGAAAGGCGUAGUCGAUGGGAAACAGGUUAAUAUUCCUGUACUUGGUGUUACUGCGAAGGGGGGACGGAGAAGGCUAUGUUGGCCGGGCGACGGUUGUCCCGGUUUAAGCGUGUAGGCUGGUUUUCCAGGCAAAUCCGGAAAAUCAAGGCUGAGGCGUGAUGACGAGGCACUACGGUGCUGAAGCAACAAAUGCCCUGCUUCCAGGAAAAGCCUCUAAGCAUCAGGUAACAUCAAAUCGUACCCCAAACCGACACAGGUGGUCAGGUAGAGAAUACCAAGGCGCUUGAGAGAACUCGGGUGAAGGAACUAGGCAAAAUGGUGCCGUAACUUCGGGAGAAGGCACGCUGAUAUGUAGGUGAAGUCCCUUGCGGAUGGAGCUGAAAUCAGUCGAAGAUACCAGCUGGCUGCAACUGUUUAUUAAAAACACAGCACUGUGCAAACACGAAAGUGGACGUAUACGGUGUGACGCCUGCCCGGUGCCGGAAGGUUAAUUGAUGGGGUCAGCGCAAGCGAAGCUCUUGAUCGAAGCCCCGGUAAACGGCGGCCGUAACUAUAACGGUCCUAAGGUAGCGAAAUUCCUUGUCGGGUAAGUUCCGACCUGCACGAAUGGCGUAAUGAUGGCCAGGCUGUCUCCACCCGAGACUCAGUGAAAUUGAACUCGCUGUGAAGAUGCAGUGUACCCGCGGCAAGACGGAAAGACCCCGUGAACCUUUACUAUAGCUUGACACUGAACAUUGAGCCUUGAUGUGUAGGAUAGGUGGGAGGCUUGGAAGUGUGGACGCCAGUCUGCAUGGAGCCGACCUUGAAAUACCACCCUUUAAUGUUUGAUGUUCUAACGUUGACCCGUAAUCCGGGUUGCGGACAGUGUCUGGUGGGUAGUUUGACUGGGGCGGUCUCCUCCUAAAGAGUAACGGAGGAGCACGAAGGUUGGCUAAUCCUGGUCGGACAUCAGGAGGUUAGUGCAAUGGCAUAAGCCAGCUUGACUGCGAGCGUGACGGCGCGAGCAGGUGCGAAAGCAGGUCAUAGUGAUCCGGUGGUUCUGAAUGGAAGGGCCAUCGCUCAACGGAUAAAAGGUACUCCGGGGAUAACAGGCUGAUACCGCCCAAGAGUUCAUAUCGACGGCGGUGUUUGGCACCUCGAUGUCGGCUCAUCACAUCCUGGGGCUGAAGUAGGUCCCAAGGGUAUGGCUGUUCGCCAUUUAAAGUGGUACGCGAGCUGGGUUUAGAACGUCGUGAGACAGUUCGGUCCCUAUCUGCCGUGGGCGCUGGAGAACUGAGGGGGGCUGCUCCUAGUACGAGAGGACCGGAGUGGACGCAUCACUGGUGUUCGGGUUGUCAUGCCAAUGGCACUGCCCGGUAGCUAAAUGCGGAAGAGAUAAGUGCUGAAAGCAUCUAAGCACGAAACUUGCCCCGAGAUGAGUUCUCCCUGACUCCUUGAGAGUCCUGAAGGAACGUUGAAGACGACGACGUUGAUAGGCCGGGUGUGUAAGCGCAGCGAUGCGUUGAGCUAACCGGUACUAAUGAACCGUGAGGCUUAACCUU